rnacentral:lncRNA from 1 species
CAGAACUGGGAAGGCUGGGAAACCCUUCUGUGAUCCCGGAAGCAGAGUCCAGUGUGUGUGUGUGCACGUGUGUGUACAUGUGCUGUGUGUAUUCAUGUCGCCUUUCUUUCAAUUGUUUCCACCCAAAGCCUCAGGCUCCAGCCCUGCCUACCGCUACUGCCCCACCUGCCUGGGAGCUGCUCUCUAUCAGGCUACCCCUCAGCCGAGCUCUGCACGCCCCUCUUCAGCAAAUUCCAGAGGACACCUCAGCCACCCCUGCUCCUUUCUUGAGGGAGAUGAACAGAUGCACAAGGACCCAGGUCACACAGCAGACUUCCACAGGCUCUGACCCCGGAACCCACUUCAAGCAGACCUAUCCUAAGGCCCUCAACAGGGGGACGUCCUGCCACCCUCCUAACUAGGACUGGUUUCCUAGGAUUGGUUUCCAGCCACACCCUGCUUACAGACAGCCCAGGCAGGUGCACACGGGUCAAACCCAGGUCUCCUCAGGGCAAUGGGUCAGGGUCCCCGUGAAAAGGAAUCCCCAGCAGAUUACAAAGCAGGUGUUUCCCAGGCUUGGGGUGACUCACUGUCCCCCAUUACAUAUACCUAUUUAUACACAA